UUGGUCUAAGCUAACUAGAUGCUUUGCACAGUCAGGAAGUGGCUAUUUUAUCUAUUAUUAUCUAUCUAGGUUUGGACCUUGUUGUGCUAUUUAUAUCUCCGUUAAUAUUAUGUUACAAUUCCAUUUCUGUAGGAGUUCAGUUUUCAUUUUCAUUAUUCUCACCAAAUAAUUUGUAUUACAAAUUGUUAUUUCUUUGAAGUAUCUUUAAUUAACUCUGCAAAGUUUCUUCUUGGAAUGUGCUUUAAAACAAGUAAGUGGCUUAAUUUUUUUUUCUUUUUUUUUCGAUUUCUAAUUUAUUUUUUCCUAAAACUUGAACCCUAGAAAUCGAAGAAGAUUUAUUUCUCCCUUACACGAGUUCCCCUGAAUUAGCAAGCCUUUUGAUGUAGUUUCCUUUAUUGGUGUCUUGUUUUCACAGUUAAGACGCGGAGCGAGGCCAAAAAGGAUGGCAGUAAUGGAUUCUCUUUCAAAAACAAGAGUAAAAGUGGAUAAGCUUCAGAAAAUUGUACGAGAUCAAGCAGCCAGAAAAGAUGAAUAUGCAGCCAUCUUAUCUGAACAGUCCAAAAAACGGUUAGCUGUUGAUAUGAGAGUGAUCUUCAUACAACUUUCACUUGUUGGAUGGCAAUGACCCUAAUAGUUCAAAAACCAAUACUGUGAUCAUUUAUGUAGUAUCUUGAAUAUGUAUUACUUGGUAAUGUUUUGCCUCUUGUACUUAAUUCUGAAAUGCAAAUUAGUAAGAAGUGAUAACUCACCGGGUCACUAGACUAUUAUUAUGAGAAGACCAAUGAUCCUCUUCCAAGCUCAUACAAUUAUUCAUGAGGAAAUUUACUUUGUACUUAUUUUAUAACAUUUUUGCUCAAUUUUUGUUGUUGCAGGUGGAGAACGAUAGCUGGUUGGAAAAUGCAGCUAAUGGAAGAACCCAUCAAUAUUGCUACUUGAUGAAGCAACCAGUGCACUUGAUGCAGAGUCUGAAAAGAGUGUCCAGCAGGCACUUGAUCGGGUCAUGGUAGGCCGAACAACUGUGGUUGUGGCUCACCGGCUUUCCAUAGUAAGGAAUGCAGACAUCAUAGCAGUUGUUCAAGGUGGGAAAAUUGUGGAAACUGGAAGCCACGAUGAGCUAAUUUCUAGAUUCUGGUGGUGAAUGAGGUGUCCCUGCUGAAACAACAUUUUACGUUCCUGCCAAAAUCGAGCUAAGUUUUGGUAGGCAAAAUUGCGUUAUAAUGUUUAAAGUUCCGUACAACUCUUAAUAAAUCGACCUCUCGGAUAUUCGUCUAAUAAAUGGUUUGGAGAGGAGGGGUCAUUUGAAGAGCCAAUGGUAGGGCGUAAAUUAAGUUUUGGUGCAUGGGAUUCCAGAAAAUCUGAUGUUCUUAUAAAAUUUAAGGAAUAUGUUCAUAUAGAUAUAUUAGUUUACCUUAAUGUUAGUUGUUAUUUAUUUGUACUAUCUCUUGUAUUUAUGAACAAAAAUAUUAGAAAUAAUAACAUUUAAGGAAUAUGUUCAUAUGGAUAUAUUAGUUUACCUUAAUGUUAAUUGUUAUUUAUAUGUACUA